rnacentral:rRNA from 1 species
GCAGUCGAACGGUGAACACGGAGCUUGCUCUGUGGGAUCAGUGGCGAACGGGUGAGUAACACGUGAGCAACCUGCCCCUGACUCUGGGAUAAGCGCUGGAAACGGCGUCUAAUACUGGAUAUGUGACGUGACCGCAUGGUCUGCGUUUGGAAAGAUUUUUCGGUUGGGGAUGGGCUCGCGGCCUAUCAGCUUGUUGGUGAGGUAAUGGCUCACCAAGGCGUCGACGGGUAGCCGGCCUGAGAGGGUGACCGGCCACACUGGGACUGAGACACGGCCCAGACUCCUACGGGAGGCAGCAGUGGGGAAUAUUGCACAAUGGGCGCAAGCCUGAUGCAGCAACGCCGCGUGAGGGAUGACGGCCUUCGGGUUGUAAACCUCUUUUAGCAGGGAAGAAGCGAAAGUGACGGUACCUGCAGAAAAAGCGCCGGCUAACUACGUGCCAGCAGCCGCGGUAAUACGUAGGGCGCAAGCGUUAUCCGGAAUUAUUGGGCGUAAAGAGCUCGUAGGCGGUUUGUCGCGUCUGCUGUGAAAUCCGGAGGCUCAACCUCCGGCCUGCAGUGGGUACGGGCAGACUAGAGUGCGGUAGGGGAGAUUGGAAUUCCUGGUGUAGCGGUGGAAUGCGCAGAUAUCAGGAGGAACACCGAUGGCGAAGGCAGAUCUCUGGGCCGUAACUGACGCUGAGGAGCGAAAGGGUGGGGAGCAAACAGGCUUAGAUACCCUGGUAGUCCACCCCGUAAACGUUGGGAACUAGUUGUGGAGUCCAUUCCACGGAUUCCGUGACGC